GUGUGAAUGUGUAUGACAGUGUGUGUGUGAGUGCGUGUGUGUGUUAGCACAUGUGAGAACACACGUGUGUGUGUGAAUGUGAGUGUGAGUGUGUGAGUGCAUGUGAGUGUGAGUGCAUGUGUGUGUGUGUGAAUGUGUGAGCACGUGUGAGUGUGAGUGUGUGAGCACGUGUGUGUGUGAGUGCGUGUGUGAAUGUGUAUGAGAGUGUGUGAGUGUGAGUACGCGUGUGUGUGAGCGCGUGUGAGUGUGUGUGUGUGUGUGAGCGCAUGUGAGCGCACGUGUGUGUGAGUGUGUAGGUGUUUUGUCUGCACUGUGCAGCCUGCAGGGUCUCUCAGUUUCCGGACCAGAGAUUGAACGGUUGCCCCGGGGCGAUGGAAGCGCAGAGUCCAGCCGCUGGACCCGGGAGCCCCAGGCUCUUCAGCACCGACGCCGUCUGGCCGUUCUCACUGUCCUGCUCACCCAGGCCCUCCUUCCGCCACCGCUGCCCUACAGGGGCCACAGAGACACGUAUGGCUCCCCUCAUCGGAGCAGCUUCUCGGGACCUGCCCCCCGAGUGCCAGGUGGGCACUGCCCUCUCGCCCGGACGCCCUGGCCUCUGCUCCGUCACACCUACAGCUGGCUCCUUCAGCGUCCUGCGGUCAUUGCAAGUGACCCCAAACCCUAUGGCUGUCUCCCGGCUCCUGAGGGCCUGGAAUCCAGGAGGGAGACCUAGGCUCAGACACGGGGCAGCGGGAGCUGGUGGGGGCCGGAUGGCAGACCCUCGCCUCCCCUACUCGCUGGAUCAGCGAGCUGUUCUUCCCGAGUGCCUGCUUCAGGACCACGGUCAGGGCGCGCGGGACAUGGCUGCUGGGGGGUUUACUCAUUUGCUCGCCGUUGAACAGAAGCACAGUGGCUGGACGGAUGGAGAGAGAGGGAAACGUGGGUAUAACGGACGUGUGGACAGACGGACACACAGAUUCCCUGACUCGGGCUGACAGCCGAGCCAUCUCUGGAGCCAUCACCUCAAGCCAGGCACCUGGUGCCCACUCUUCCCCACGUGGCAUAGGCUGGCAAGGCAUCACUCCCGGCGGGGUGUCUCAGCCUGCCCAUGGAGGACAGGAGGCCACGGAAGCACGCAGAGGCCGGGACCCACAGCACUGGGAUCAGUCCGAACGGAAGCCUCCACCUGGAACCUGGCCCUCUGACCCAAACCAUGGGGCCAGGACCCAUACCACGUGGCAGAAGGACCCUGUGAGCCUCAGCCAGCUCCCCACCCUCUGCACAGAGUCCCCCUGGCCCCCACCCCACAGGGGAGAAGCCAAGUCCUCCCAGACGUGCCCCUCCCGGUGCCCUGCUCUUGCCAUCCCAGCCUGCGACCAGUGAGGGGCAGGAGUCCUCCAGGAGGGACCCUCGGUCCCUGGACACCCUGCUGUCUUCAGCCCCGACUUGUGGGGAGUGCUGGGCUGAGGGCCAGUGGGAGGAUGGGGCUGUCAGGCGACAUUUGCCUGGCUGCAACCCCCACAAGCUUCAGGGCAGCCCCUCCGAGCCCCUGCAGGGGCGACAGACUCGGGCACAGGGCCAGGGACAUCCCGGGAAUUGGCCGCCUGCAAGCCCAGGUCACUCCCCAGGCCUCAGCCCCUCCCCUCCAGUCCAGGCCUGGCAUGACGCAGCUCGUCACCUCCUUCUUUCAAUGGCUGAACAAAGAAAGAAUAAGAGAAACCCUAGAUGGCUUCGGUGGGGGUCCAAACACUGUCCUACCAGCCGCCCGAGGAUGGGGCUGUAUCAGGAUGUGGGUGGGUAAGGGUUGACCACCGGGCUGGACAGAGACCAGCUUCGGGACGUCCUCUAGUCUGGGGCGCUCCCCGUUCGGAUGGCAUCGCCUCUUGCCCACCCCAGGGACGCAGAUGGGUAGGCAGAGGUGGGCAGCAGAUGGCACGAGGGCUAUCAGGCGCCUGCCCGAAGGCCAGACCCCAGGGCUCCCGGAGCCGCCGUGCA
ensembl:lncRNA